rnacentral:rRNA from 1 species
CCUACGGGGGGCAGCAGUGAGGAAUAUUGGUCAAUGGACGAGAGUCUGAACCAGCCAAGCAGCGUGAAGGAUGACUGCACUAUGGGUUGUAAACCUCUUUUAUAAAGGAAUAAAACGAGGCACGUGUGCCUUUUUGCAUGUACUUUAUGAAUAAGCAUCGGCUAACUCCGUGCCAGCAGCCGCGGUAAUACGGAGGAUCCGAGCGUUAUCCGGAUUUAUUGGGUUUAAAGGGGGCGUAGAUGGUUUGUUAAGUCAGUUGUGAAAGUUUGCGGCUCAACCGGAAAGUGGCAAUUGAUACUGGCAGUCUCGAGUACAGGAGAGGUAGGCGGAAUUCGUGGUGUAGCGGUGAAAUGCUUAGAUAUCACGAAGAACCCCGAUUGCGAAGGCAGCAUGCUAAA